GACGAGGGGUCCUAGCGUUGUUCGGAAUUACUGGGCGUAAAGCGCAUGUAGGCGGCUUGGAAAGUCGGAUGUGAAAGCCCUGGGCUUAACCCAGGAAGUGCAUCUGAAACUUCUGAGCUUGAGUAUGAGAGAGGGCAGUAGAAUUCCUGGUGUAGUGGUGAAAUACGUAGAUAUCAGGAGGAAUACCGGCGGCGAAGGCGGCUGCCUGGCUCAAUACUGACGCUGAGAUGCGAAAGCGUGGGGAUCAAACAGG
rnacentral:rRNA from 1 species